GGGGUUAAGCAUCACAGAUUCCAAAUAGCGAUAAGGUAUAACAUGGUGACUUAGGAACUCUUUCGUGAAGGAAAGAUGUAAUGUGCACACUUUAGCAGCAAAAUAUUGCAGGUUUUCUGAAAAGAAUAUAAUUAUUCAAGGAGAAUUCAAUGAAUAUAUGACAUUAUAAUGAUCCUAAGUGGUUUACAAGAUCCAUAUCAUAAGGAAC
rnacentral:lncRNA from 1 species